rnacentral:rRNA from 1 species
UACGUAGGGGGCAAGCGUUGUCCGGAUUUAUUGGGCGUAAAGAGCGUGUAGGCGGUUUGGUAGGUCCGCUGUGAAAACUCGAGGCUCAACCUCGAGACGCCGGUGGAAACCAUCAGACUAGAGUCCGGAAGAGGAGAGUGGAAUUCCUGGUGUAGCGGUGAAAUGCGCAGAUAUCAGGAAGAACACCCGUGGCUAAGGCGGCUCUCUAGUACGGUACUGGCGCUGAGACGCGAAAGCGUGGGGAGCGAACAGG